GCUGCAUAUGAAUUAAUAUUAAAGCAGCAACUGACUACAGAAGCUGAGAAAAAAUGCUUUGAUUCCACUGAGGGACACUGCGAUUUUAAGGCUUUGGUGUGCGGUGUUCCUUCCAUGCUGGGAGCCAUUGUUACGCUGUGGAAUGCAGGAAGCCGACUGAUGGGAUGCAGAGGUCCCGGUGCUGCAAAAGACGCUUUUGGUGGGAGUCGACCCAGAGCAUGGCGGUGAGCAGAUGUGUUUCAAGCUGCUACUGACAAUUUAGUGUCUCUGGGAAAGAAGCAAAAACUAAUACCUCCAUGUGUGCAAAACUUUUUCCAGCAGCAGCUAUUUAAUAAUAUUGCCCCGGCAUUCUCCAUAGUGUGAUACAAACACAGUGAUAAAGCAAGACAGCUGCAGACAAAGAGGGCCCUGCUCGCAAGCUUACAACCUCUAUAAAUCUGCCGCUAGUAUCUAUUAGCUCCAUGUUGCAGAUGAUAGAAGUGUGGUCAAAUAUAAAUGCCUCUGACAUUGCACCAUUACAUAACUAAAGCAGACUCAUGAAAAGGCGCUCACUAAUAAUAGCUCUGAAUACCGCCCCUCUGAAGAUGACACAAGUAGGUGUGACACUACAAUUUACUUACUUUAUUAAUGUAAUACUCUCAAUCAUGGAAACAGCACAGCUAAGCUUACCUGUAGCUUUUUGUCGCACAACGUUCCGAGCCUUCUCCACGCCUGGGGCCCCAGAGGUAGUUGCACUUCGGAAUCUCAUUGGUUCAUGUGCAUCUGGGUGAUUUCUCCAGCUCAGAGAGAAUGACCGGCCCACUGCAGCCCCUUUGUGAGGAUCUGGAAAGCCACCUUACAUAAGGAAGUAAGGAGAAAAGCUAUCAAAUGACAGCCUACAACCUCUUUGUAUCAGCACACUGUAUUUUGUUCAGUCCUAGGAUUUGGAAGCUUAUUGAGAUUAUUAGAUUCCAUGAUAUUAGAAUUAUAAGUAAGAUGAGAUGUGAGCUCGAUAACGAUGGAACCAUGGAAAUGGACCCUUGUAACAUUUUAGACUACUGAUGUGUGGAGAACACAUGGAAAGUUUAAUAAUGUAAGAUGCUAUUUAAAUAAACACUGCAUUUUGCAUUUGGAGAAAAAAGCUUAGAAACUUUAAAACUAGAAACAUUAAAAAUAUAAAAAUGAAAAACAGAUUGAAGAAACAUUAAAGUUCUAGGUCGCUGAAGUUUCUUCUGGACAAGUAAUAAAAGUGAAAAGAUUUUAAAUAAAAUAGGGAAUGGAAUGACACAAAAUUCUGAAAUACUUAAUUUGGGUUAGAAUAAAAUUAUACUGGAUAAUGGUCUACUGACCACAACUGUGUUUAAACCGUGUUCUACUAAGCAGCCACUAGAUGUCACUAAUUCAACGCGAUGAAUAUUUUUGUAUUGUGAGACUACAUUAUAAAUAGAGGACACUUUUGAAAGGAGCGUGCUUAUUUCCCAUUUUUAGUGUGCAUAAAAAAAGGAUGCUUAAUAUGACAAUAAA